rnacentral:misc_RNA from 1 species
CAUGGGUAGAACUCAUGCAUCUACAAUUCAUGCUCUUAACUAUCACCACACGCUGUAUGCAAGGUCCUAAAAACCAGCGGGACAAAAGACUUUACUGCUGAAUUCAGCAUUCAUUACAUGUUUUCAUAGUCAUUUUAUGUUUUCAUGGUCAUUUUAUAAAUUCUUGCUCUCACAAGAGCCUCACUUAUACUGGAGAUGCAAUGAUAAGCGCUAUAAUAGCUGUGCUAAUACAAGAAUCUCAGUGCUUAUAAUUUGCUGUUCAUAAAGGAUACCGAGAUAGUGGAAUUGUCCAAUCCAAUCCCUACAAAAUCUUUCAGCGCUAUGAGCUGAUCUCCUUCUAUAGUUUCGUGAUUAGUUACAACGGUCGUGCUGGUGGAAAUGAUAAUAGAGCAGGAAACCAGCAAUUAAUAUUGCAGAACACAUAACAAAGAAAGAUACACGAGCAUGUUCAGAACUAAUUUAGUUGAUCCUGAAAUCCAAAUUCCCUUUCAAUGGCAAAUUCAAAAUCACACCAAACAAGUAUCAAUAUUGCAAUGGAU